GAUGAACGCUAGCGAUAGGCUUAACACAUGCAAGUCGAGGGGCAGCAUGAUCUUAGCUUGCUAAGGUCGAUGGCGACCGGCGCACGGGUGCGUAACGCGUAUGCAACUUGCCUUACAGAGGGGGAUAACCCGUUGAAAGACGGACUAAAACCGCAUACACUUGUAUUAUUGCAUGAUAUUACAAGGAAAUAUUUAUAGCUGUAAGAUAGGCAUGCGUCCCAUUAGCUGGUUGGUGAGGUAACGGCUCACCAAGGCGACGAUGGGUAGGGGAACUGAGAGGUUUAUCCCCCACACUGGUACUGAGACACGGACCAGACUCCUACGGGAGGCAGCAGUGAGGAAUAUUGGUCAAUGGGCGAGAGCCUGAACCAGCCAAGUCGCGUGAAGGAAGACAGUCCUAAGGAUUGUAAACUUCUUUUAUACGGGAAUAACGGGCGAUACGAGUAUUGCAUUGAAUGUA
rnacentral:rRNA from 1 species